rnacentral:lncRNA from 1 species
CCCCUUCGGCUAGGUUUCCUUCGAAUAUUGAACCCCCUUAAUUGAAAUUUUGGCUUCGCCUCUAUCCAUGUUGCACUCUUUUUCAUACCCCAAACUUCAAAUUGGAUGUCGAGUCAUCGUACAAACCUAGUCAAACAAAGUUUUUCUCUUAGAGAAUACAGGACCAUCUCUUUUUUCAAUAAAUAAUAUUUCCCGUACUGUCCUUUUUUAAAUAAAAUCGUGUGAUCUUAAAUAUGUCAGGUUUUCUCAAGUAUUCAUAAUCGCCAAAAUGUAAGCAAUUCCAUCUACUACAACAAUUUCCCCACCACGUGGAUGAAUAGAAGACACUUGUCUAUCAAUUCCCAUGACUUACUUUUGUUUGCACAAAAUACUUCGAUUUCAUAAUAAAGUGCAAAAUACGUAUUUACCUGGACAGGGUUAAUGGAUAAUCAUUAAGACUCGUUGCCUAGGCUGGUGACCUCCAUUGCACUUUGGAAGGGUGUCCACCUAAGGUCAGACCAAGUGAUUGAGCCUAUAUCCUAAUUUGUGGCAGCAGAGUCGUACGUUUGCACACCCCUACCCAAAAAAAAAAAAAAAAGUGCAAAAUACUUCAAUUUCAUAAUAAAGUGAAAAACCUUUCUACCCUACUCUUACUAUCCCUCCAUCGGACUAUGAACUUUUCUUGAUCCUCUAGUGGGCGGGUUCCAUAAAACAACUUCAUCAUAAGGGAAAAUUAGAAGUAGUAUACCAUUGCAAGAACUAAAACACUGUACUCAACUGAACAUAAUCGAUUCUCGGAAUUACAUCAAAAAAGACAAACGAGAUCAUGCCGAAGUGGAGCAUCUACGUAGUAGUAGUAAUGAUCUUCCUUCUUGCAAGACAUCAAGAAUUUGUAGCUAUUUAUAUCACUUUUGCAUCCGUCGUGACGAAGAUGGAUGAAUUGACUAUCUUAUAUUAGAGAGUGUCAUGAUUUGCAAACAAAGGAAGUUUUAGUAGUUGUCACACCCUUUAAAGGGCUUUUAUUAUUAAGUGACAAAAGAUGAAAUUUAUUUCAAAAGGAUUUUUACAAUUAAAUUCAGAGUCGUCACUUGACAUAUCGAGUGUGUCAAAUCACCUUUUCGGAAAUCUUUUUUUAAAACGAUUUGACUCUAAAAGCUGAUCCGCGAACAGAGAUUUCAGUUAAGGAAUUCUAUUGACCGAGGGGAAGAUAUUAGGCAUCCCUCGAUCCCGUGGUUCGACCACAAUCGCUUUGUUGAAUAUAUCGUCUAGUACGACAUUAUGAAAUGUAUAAACCAACAAACACAUAAAUUUGAAAACAAACAACCAAAACAAAUCAAAACUUCAAACAUAGUAUCCAGUCCAAUUAUUACAGUCCAAAAUAAUUUUUUUAAAAAAAGGUACUGAAUGAACCUACACUAACCAUACUAAUCCUGAUCUAUGCUCUAUUCGAUGCUUCGGGCCUUGAUCACGAACAUUCUUCGCAUACAUGAUACUUCGAAAAAUUCUCCGAUAAAUGAAUACAACUUUCCUUGGAACAUUCCCGAUCAAAUAAGUACAAUUAAUUCAAAAUCGAUACAAACAAAAAUCAAUCAAAACAUUCAAACAUUCAAUAACCCACAACCCCUAAGUUAGCCUACCCACCCAACCUACAGUUUGCCUACACCUAAACAUGCUACUAUCGACUUUAAACAAAAUUAACGACUAUUCCAAUUUAAACAACAACAGUCAACGAGUCAAAACAAAUUCACAUUAGCUUUUAUCCAUAUUUCCAAUCCCGCCUCCCAAGUCAUCAAUUUUAACAAUGAAGCAUUCAAUUAUUCGAAUCUAAAUUCAUUUGACAGAAACAAACCAACUAACAAAAUCAGUCAACCAACCAUAGGUAAAUAAUCGAGCAUUGCAAUCAUGUAAAUUACAAAGAAAUAAAACGAAUAGAGAGUAGAAGAAAUGGACCUUCCGAAUCAAAUUCAUUGAUUAUUCUCAUGAAAGACCGGAGUAUCGCAGCCAUCGGAACCUCAAUCCAAAUCGAACCUCAACGUCGAGCUCAUCCGCUCUACAUGAAUUCUCCGGUGAUGGCAUUCGAAACUGAUUUUGAUCGCAGGAAAGAUUGUUUGGACCGGAAAUUGAGUUUUUUAAUGAAAGGGGAGAAAACGAACGGAGUUAUUCCGUCGAAAACUCACCGGAAUGGAUUUGCCUUCUACCGUUUCUCACUGUUUCCUACUGAUUUCUCCUUGUUUUCUCUGUUUAUUACCCCUCUCGAUCUCUCCCUCAAUCUUUCUCUCAAUUCCCCUCUUUUUUUUUUGCUCUCUCUCCCGAUUCUCUCUAAUUUUCCCACUCAAUUUUCUCUCUCUUUCCCCGAUUUUCAUUCUCUGCGUGUGUAAUUUCAAUCUCUUUCUCUUUUGCUUUUUUCCAGUCUGUGGAUGAAGUAUGGUGUGUAUUUUUGUCAAUGUCUGUGUAUGUAGCAUGUGUUUUGUUUAUAGUGAGGUGUGUGGAUGUGUGAGUGUGAGUGCGUGUGCAUAGGGUUGUUGGGAGUGGGUGGAUUAGGUGGGGGUAGGGGUAGAGUACGUGGGGUAGGAAGAGG